rnacentral:rRNA from 1 species
ACUCAAAUGAAUUGACGGGGACCUGCACAAGUGGUGGAACAUGCGGUUUAAUUCGAUGUCACGCGAAAAACCUUACCAACUCUUGACAUGGUGGUCGCGAGGUGCAGAAAUGUACUUCUUCAGUUCGGCUGGACCACACACAGGUGUUGCAUGGCCGUCGUCAGCUCGUGUUGUGAGAUGUUAGGUUAAGUCCUGCAACGAGCGCAACCCCUAUCCUUAUUUGCCAGCGGGUUAAGCCGGGAACUAUAAGGAAACUGCCAGCGACAAGCUGGAGGAAGGUGGGGAUGAAGUCAGGUCAGCAUGGCCCUUAUGGGUUGGGCUACACGCGUGUUACAAUGGUAAUGACAAAGGGAAACGAAGGAGCGAUCUGGAGUCAAUCUCAUAAAAAUUACCUUAGUUCGGAUUGCACUCUGCAACUCGGGUGCAUGAAGUUGGAAUCACUAGUAAUCGUAGAUCAGCACGCUACGGUGAAUACGUUCACAGGUCUUGUACACACCGCCCGU